AAGCAGCUACCAGGCUUUCAGAAUGUAAUUUCUCAUUUGCUGUGGACAUAACCUUAAAAAAAAAAAAAAAUCCCCAAGGGUUUUCCAUGUUAGUAGGCAACCUAUUGGGAACAUUU
ensembl:snoRNA Gm55577 small nucleolar RNA SNORA32